GAUGAACGCUGGCGGCGUGCCUAAUACAUGCAAGUCGAGCGAAUGGAUUAAGAGCUUGCUCUUAUGAAGUUAGCGGCGGACGGGUGAGUAACACGUGGGUAACCUGCCCAUAAGACUGGGAUAACUCCGGGAAACCGGGGCUAAUACCGGAUAACAUUUUGAACCGCAUGGUUCGAAAUUGAAAGGCGGCUUCGGCUGUCACUCAUGGAUGGACCCGCGUCGCAUUAGCUAGUUGGGGAGGUAACGGCCCACCAAGGCAACGAUGCGUAGCCGACCUGAGAGGGUGAUCGGCCACACUGGGACUGAGACACGGCCCAGACUCCUAAGGGAGGCAGCAGUAGGGAAUCUUCCGCAAUGGACGAAAGUCUGACGGAGCGACGCCGCGUGAGUGAUGAAGGCUUUCGGGUCGUAAAACUCUGUUGUUAGGGAAGAACAAGUGCUAGUUGAAUAAGCUGGCACCUUGACGGUACCUAACCAGAAAGCCACGGCUAACUACGUGCCAGCAGCCGCCGUAA
rnacentral:rRNA from 1 species